UACGAAGGGUGCAAGCGUUAAUCGGAAUUACUGGGCGUAAAGCGUGCGUAGGCGGUUGUGUAAGUCAGAUGUGAAAUCCCCGGGCUCAACCUGGGAAUUGCAUUUGAGACUGCACGGCUAGAGUGUGUCAGAGGGGGGUAGAAUUCCACGUGUAGCAGUGAAAUGCGUAGAGAUGUGGAGGAAUACCGAUGGCGAAGGCAGCCCCCUGGGAUAACACUGACGCUCAUGCACGAAAGCGUGGGGAGCAAACAGG
rnacentral:rRNA from 1 species